rnacentral:rRNA from 1 species
AGGACCGAACCCACAUCCGUUGAAAAGGGUGGGGAUGAGGUGUGGAUAGGGGAGAAAUUCCAAUCGAACCCGGAGAUAGCUGGUUCUCCUCGAAAUAGCUUUAGGGCUAGCCUCAUGCAAGUCUUACGGAGGUAGAGCACUGAAUUCCUAAGGGGGCGUCAAAGCUUACCAAGGGAUAUCAAACUCCGAAUGCCGUGUAGAUGGUGCAUGGGAGUCAGACUAUCCGAGAUAAGUUGGGUAGUCAAAAGGGAAAGAGCCCAGACCUACAGCUAAGGUCCCAAAAUGUGUGUUAAGUGGAAAAGGAUGUGGGAUUUCGAAGACAACUAGGAUGUUGGCUUAGAAGCAGCCAUCCAUUAAAAGAGUGCGUAAUAGCUCACUAGUCGAGAGGUCCUGCGCCGAAAAUGUCCGGGGCUGAAACACACUACCGAAGCUUGGGAAUUGACGAAUGUUAAUUGGUAGAGGAGCAUUCUUAACGGGGCGAAGCUGUACCGGAAGGAGCAGUGGACUGUUAAGAAGAGAGAAUGCCGGAAUGAGUAGCGAGAGGAAGGUGAGAAUCCUUCCGGCCGAAUAUCUAAGGUUUCCAGAGUAAAGCUGAUCUGCUCUGGGUAAGUCGGGGCCUAAGGCGAGGUCGAAAGACGUAGUCGAUGGAUAACAGGUAAAGAUUCCUGUACUAUAUCAUAACAGAACUGUGGGGACGCAGACAGAGAGCAUAAGCCGGGAAUGGAAAAACCGGUACAAGCGAGGUAGGAGUGCAUCAGGCAAAUCCGGUGCACAAUCUGAAGACGUGAUGUGGGGCGUAAAGCCGGAAGUAUGUGAGCUGGCUGCCAAGAAAAGCCGCUAUUGUUUAUGAUAUACCCGUACCGUAAACCGACACAGGUGGAUGAGGAGAGAAUCCUAAGGCCGACGGGAGAAGCAUUGUUAAGGAACUCGGCAAAAUGACUCCGUAACUUCGGGAGAAGGAGUGCCAUGUAAAAGUGGCCGCAGAGAAUUGGCCCAAGCAACUGUUUAGCAAAAACACAGGUCUAUGCAAAACCGAAAGGUGAGGUAUAUGGGCUGACGCCUGCCCGGUGCUGGAAGGUUAAGGGGAGAGGUUAGCCGUAAGGCGAAGCUUUGAACUUAAGCCCCAGUAAACGGCGGCCGUAACUAUAACGGUCCUAAGGUAGCGAAAUUCCUUGUCGGGUAAGUUCCGACCCGCACGAAAGGCGUAAUGAUUUGGGCACUGUCUCAACAAUGCACCCGGUGAAAUUGAAAUACCAGUGAAGAUGCUGGUUACCUGCGCCAGGACGGAAAGACCCCAUGGAGCUUUACUCCAGCUUGAUACUGGGAUUCGAUAUUGCAUGUACAGGAUAGGUGGGAGACUGAGAACUGAUGACGCCAGUUGUCAGGGAGUCACUGUUGGGAUACCACCCUUGUAGUAUUGGAUUUCUAACCAGCAGCCGUGAACCGGCUGGGGGACAAUGUCAGGUGGGGAGUUUGACUGGGGCGGUCGCCUCCGAAAGGGUAUCGGAGGCGCUCAAAGGUUCCCUCAGAAUGGUUGGAAACCAUUCGAAGAGUGCAAAGGCAGA